UACGGGGGGGGUAAGCGUUGUUCGGAAUUACUGGGCGUAAAGGGCUCGUAGGCGGCCAACUAAGUCAUACGUGAAAUCCCUCAGCUUAACUGGGGAACUGCGUGUGAUACUGGAUGGCUUGGAUUUGGGAGAGGGAUGCGGAAUUCCAGGUGUAGCGGUGAAAUGCGUAGAUAUCUGGAGGAACACCGGUGGCGAAGGCGGCAUCCUGGACAGUUCCUGACGCUGAGGCACGAAGGCCAGGGGAGCAAACGGG
rnacentral:rRNA from 1 species